UAUCAGUAAAAAAAAAUAAAUACAUAUGUCCAAGAAACUAAAUACAACUAACAAAAUUCCAGUAGGGCAAAUAAUGUGAAUUAGUCUAGAAACCAUAGUUGCAGGUAAGGCGGUAAUGGCAGCAUCAACAAAUAUGGACAAACAUUCACUCAUUCACUGUCUGUUUUACCACCACUGUGUUCUGGUCAGGUUCGCGGUGGGUCCGAUUUAUUAGACGAAAAACAGGAAACAUCCUGGACAGGUCAUCAGGUUUGUGGUGGGUCUGAUUUAUUGGACGAAAGACAGAAAACACCCCGGACAGGUCAUCAGGUGUCUCCAAUUAACCUGACUGCAUGUUUUGGACUGUGUGAGGAAACUGGAGCUCCCAGAGGAAACCCACGCAGACACGGGGAGAACAUGCAAACUCCACACCGAAAGGAAUUAGCAAAAAAGAACAGUGGUUGCAAGUGGAAGCUAACUGACAUAGAUAGAUAAACAUGUCACACAUUGUUACUAAA